GGGUGCAUAGCUCAGUGGUAGAGCAUUCGGCUGCAGUCCGACUGGUCACUGGUUCAAAUCCGGUUGUGCCCU